rnacentral:misc_RNA from 1 species
UGGUCACUGGAGAGGACUUUU